GACGAACGCUGGCGGCGUGCCUAACACAUGCAAGUCGAACGGAGUUUAUCGCGUGAAAUCUUCGGAUGGAGCAUGAUAAACUUAGUGGCGGACGGGCGAGUAACGCGUGAGCAACCUGCCUUUCAGUGGGGAAUAACAUUGGGAAACCAAUGCUAAUACCGCAUAACACAUUUUGGUCGCAUGAUUGAGAUGUCAAAGAUAUAUUGCUGAAAGAUGGG
rnacentral:rRNA from 1 species